AGUCAUUUCCUGUUUUUUUUCCACCUUAUUAAAAUACACAGUGUGGGUUGAAAUCUGUAAACGCAUACUCAUCACGCUUUAGGUUGACAUGUCUGACAGAGAUUUUACUCUCCUUUUUUGCCUUUCUCUAACACUUCAACAUGUAUGCACUGGAUUCCAGGUGUGGACACUAUUGCAGUACAACAGCAAAGACAACAACUCAGUCAAUAUAAUAUGUCAACAUAAUGCACUGGAAAACUGGACUAUUCGUGCCGAAGUGCUCAUGAAUAAUGAAAACUUUUGCAAUGCAAAGCAAAACAACACAGCAUGUGAAAUGAGACAAGAAGGAAAACAGUUCAAUUUUACACUGAAAAUUACUGCUGAGCAAAGAAGACUUCCUUUUAAUUGUUUGGUUUACAAAAGUGGACCACUCCCCAUCCAAUUGAGAAAGGGAGAAGAAAUGAUGCUGUUCCCAGGAUGCGAUAUUCCACCUCCGAUACCUACGAACUCAAGCAAAUGCUUGGAUGUGGGCAGUGAUUGCGCUCAUACUGCUCUAGUCGGUUUACUCACCUGGGCUCUGAUUGGAUUUGUGCUUCUGCUGUUUCUCUACAGUUUCAUUAUUACUGUUGUUUAUAUCAAACUAAGGCUCGCGAUUUCUGAAGAGCUAACAUUAACCUAUGUUCCAAUGCAGCAAAAUUGGUUCAGACCCAAGGUAAGUGAUACACUUUCAUGCAGGGCCGUAACUACCAUAGACACUGAGGAGGACAUGCCCCAACCCCUAAUAAUCAGAUAUGGCCAACCCCCCCCCCCACCCCCCCCCCCCCCCCCCAAAACAAGAACCCCACUCUGAACCCAAAUACUCUUACUUUUCAUAACAUAGAAGAUAUUUUCCCCCCACUCUUUUCCGCUCUAUUACAGCUCUAUUCCAUAAAAUGGCAGAAGAUAGUGAUCAUGAGCUUUAAAGGUGCACUAUAAAGGCACCAUAAAAACUAAACUCCAAGUGGCCAUAUGAGAGCUUUGUGUCGUAUGGACUGCUUUUCUGUAUAGCGGUGUAAACAUUCUUCAAAAUUCUCCUUUUGUGUUACACUGAAAGCAGCAUACAGCUUUGGAACAACUUGACAGUGAGUCAAUAAUUUGGUGUAAGUAAUUUUGUCUAGCUAGCUGACACAGACAUGAUGUUUUACAGAGAUAUGAUGACAAUGAUGAUGAAAAGAUAAUAAUGAAAAGGCAAUCUGGGACAGCAGAAAAAAGGGCAAGCUGACAGGAACAGGAAAGAAGUUAGCAGUGUGUAUACACAGUGGAAGUUUUGUAAUUCAUAUUUGGUCCGCUCUACUGUUUGGAACAUAUUAUUCACUAUAUAUGUGCAUAAUAAGAGGAAAACCUGAGUAAAUCUGAAAUACAAUAAACCAUCUAAUCUAACUUGUUUUCGUAUUGUAAUACAUACUGACUUUACUGUAGUUAUUUUGGUCUUAAAUAUAAAGUUAUUGUAUUGUAUAUAUAAAUAAUGUAUAUAUAAAUAUUUGGACCUUCAUUACAUAGAGAACUAAAAAGGAUCAUUACAUUUGUGACCCCACCCCCUCCACAUGGUUUGGUCCCCCGCAAUGUUCAGGAUGUUGUUACGGCCUUGCUUUCAUACAUUCAUCAUCUUUCUUUGUAAAAUUGCUAAGCGGCAAGCAGUCUUAUUCCUGGUGUGCCUAAAGAUGAGCAAGGUUUGUGUGCCAAUUCACACAUAGAUCUACUCUAAAUCUGAGAGUCACUCAAGGAAGAUUGUUAGCUUUUAUAAUAAGUGUGUAAUAUCUGAAGUAAAUGCAACUGUUUUUUAAAAAAAAUUAUUAUUUCCUUAACUUGUUCACAACUGUUGUUUUCUACUCCUAACCUACUAACCCAUUUCAGAAGAAAGUGAAAGUGCAGGGAGCAGACAAGAAUGCAGAAUACAUGGAUAUGCGUAAGGUGCAUCACCAAGCACAACCCAUCAGAGACAUGAACCACAACUCUCGCCUGAAUCCUGUGGGCUUUAGUGUCUGAUGUUUCUGUAAUUAUUCAUAUGAGUAUUGAUUUUAUAACACAGAAGAGAAAACUGUAGCCUACAUUGCCUUCACCUGAAAGCAUAUUAUUGCUAUACCUUAAGACUGUAAUUUCGCUAUCUUGU
ensembl:lncRNA